GACGAACGCUGGCGGCAGGCCUAACACAUGCAAGUCGAGCGGAGCGGCGGACGGGUUAGUAAUGCCUAGGAAUCUGCCUGGUACAGGUGGAUAAUGUCCGGAAACGGGCGCUAAUACCGCAUACUAUCGAAUGAGCCUAGUUCGGAUUAGCUAGGUGUUGGGGUAAAGGCCUACCAAGGCGACGAUCCGUAACUGGUCUGGGAGGAUGAUCAGUAACACUGGAACUGAGAAACGGGCAAGACUCCUACGGGAGGCAGCAUUGGGGAAUAUUGGACAAUGGGCGAAAGCCUGAUGCAGCCAUGCCGCGUGUGUGAAGAAGGUCUUCGGAUUGUAAAGCACUUUAAGUAGGGAGGCGUUACCAACAGAAUAAGCACCGGCUAACUUCGUGCCAGCAGCCGCGGUAAUAC
rnacentral:rRNA from 1 species